CUUCAACCAUUGGCGAGAGCGGGUGUAUGCGGCAUUAUUUCCCGCUGACACCCUGAAAAGUGAGUGUAGCGUGGUGAGACUGGACAUGUCACACUGGUGAUUCACACUGGUGUCUCCGUGUCACGAUGUCCCGGUGCUGAGAGUGCCAGGGCCACCGGCAGUGCGUGGCCCCUUGCUUUAUCUCAAGCGUGAGUGAGUGUGCGUGAGAGUAAAAUCAGACUGUAACUCUGCACCACCACACUAUCGCCAUCAUGGGGCCGGAACACCUAGGAUCUGCCUCCUUCCUUCAUAUGGGGGACAUCGUUUCCCUGUAUGCUGAGGGCAGCGUGUCGGGAUUUAUCAGCACACUCGGGCUGGUCGACGCUCGGUGUGUUGUGAAUCCCAGUGCAGGAGAUCUCACGAAUCCGCCCAAGAAAUUCAGAGGUGAGUAAGCUACGUCUCGCAUCUUUAUAUUAUACUCAUUAUGAGUGGUCAGUUAU